UAACGCGUGAGCAACCUGCCUUUCAGAGGGGGAUAACGAUUGGAAACGAUCGCUAAUACCGCAUAACGUCCGGAUGGGACAUCCUGUCUGGACCAAAGGAGAAAUCCGCUGAGAGAUGGGCUCGCGUCCAAUUAGCUAGUUGGCGGGGUAAAGGCCCACCAAGGCGACGAUUGGUAGCCGGACUGAGAGGUUGAACGGCCACAUUGGGACUGAGACACGGCCCAGACUCCUACGGGAGGCAGCAGUGGGGAAUAUUGCACAAUGGGGGGAACCCUGAUGCAGCGACGCCGCGUGAGGGAAGAAGGUUUUCGGAUUGUAAACCUCUGCCCUCUGUGACGAUAAUGACGGUAGCAGAGGAGGAAGCCACGGCUAACUACGUGCCAGCAGCCGCGGUAAUACGUAGGUGGCGAGCGUUAUCCGGAAUUACUGGGUGUAAAGGGAGCGUAGGCGGGGGAACAAGUUGAAUGUUUAAGAUAUGGGCUCAACUCAUAUAAGCGUUCAAAACUGUUUUUCUUGAGUGAAGUAGAGGUAAGCGGAAUUCCUAGUGUAGCGGUGGAAUGCGUAAAUAUUAGGAGGAACACCAGUGGCGAAGGCGGCUUACUGGGCUUUAACUGACGCUGAGGCUCGAAAGCGUGGGUAGCAAACAGGAUUAGAUACCCUGGUAGU
rnacentral:rRNA from 1 species